rnacentral:rRNA from 1 species
AACGAACGCUGGCGGCAGGCCUAACACAUGCAAGUCGAGCGAGGACUUCGGUCCUAGCGGCGGACGGGUGAGUAACGCGUGGGAACGUGCCCUUUGCUUCGGAAUAGCCCUGGGAAACUGGGAGUAAUACCGGAUGAGCCCUUUGGGGGAAAGAUUUAUCGGCGAAGGAUCGGCCCGCGUUGGAUUAGGUAGUUGAUGGGGUAAUGGCCUACCAAGCCGACGAUCCAUAGCUGGUUUGAGAGGAUGAUCAGCCACACUGGGACUGAGACACGGCCCAGACCCCACCGGGGGGCGGGAGGGGGAAAUAUUAGAAAAGGGGGGAACCCCUGAUCGAGCCGUCCCGGGGGGGGGAGAAGGGCUUGGGGUUUGUAAAGCUCUUGCGGCUGGGAAGAAAAUGGGGGACCCAGAAAAAGACCCCCCGCCUACCCCCGUC